AGCACUCACUCCCAUUUUUAUGUAUAACACACAUACGAUAGUCACCAAUUUCUUCUUUUCCUAUGGAAUUUUUUCAUUUUUUCAUCUUAAUCCUUGUCUCAGAGAAGAUCUAUUUAUGUGCUAAUCUUUGAUUUGGGUUCGAUUAGUGAUGAUGCCUUUCUCUCUAUGGUUAGAUUUCACUUCAAAUCAAAGAAGGAUCGUUUUGCAGUACGAAUUGAAACCAUGCCAAAGGGUAGGGACGAGAGUUUUGAAGCCGAUGAAGAAAGCCUGCAAUUUUGAAGAGGACAUAGAGCAUAAGAGAUCCUAGAUCGUGUUUAUCUUUAGCAACAACUGAAAAGGAUUUACUAAAGGCCCUGGACUUGUAUAGAUGUAUGAGAAGCGGAAAAUAAACAAAAAAUGAUUGGAUUAAAAGAGAUGGACAGUCUGAACAGAAAGCGGCGGCACCGGAUGGAUAAUAGAUCGACAACGUCUGCAAGAGAAAAAAGCUUAAAUGAGGAGUAACGGUGGAGGCAAUCUUCGGCGGUGGCGGUGUAACGGGUGGCGGUGGAUGGAUAAUUGAUUUCUUAAAUAUUACUUUGUUGCUUCUUUUAUUCGGGAUUGCAUCUUGUAAUUUUCUUAAAUUGGAUGUCAUGGCUUAACUUUCAAUAAUUUUUGUUUAGUAUUUUGUCUUAUAGAGAUUUUGGUUGGGCCAUAAGGAUAGGAAAAGAGGAAAUUACAUCCUAUAUCUCAAACAUGUUAAUUGUAUACAUUCGUGACCCAUUAAAUUUAAAAGUGCA